rnacentral:rRNA from 1 species
AGUGUGUGGUGUAGUGGUGUGUUCUGGACCCGAAGCGGAGUGAUCUACCCAUGGCCAGGGUGAAGCGCGGGUAAGACCGCGUGGAGGCCCGAACCCACUUAGGUUGAAGACUGAGGGGAUGAGUUGUGGGUAGGGGUGAAAGGCCAAUCAAACUCCGUGAUAGCUGGUUCUCCCCGAAAUGCAUUUAGGUGCAGCGUCGCAGUGUUCGUGUCGGAGGUAGAGCUACUGGAUGGCCGAUGGGCCUCACAAGG